UACAGAGGUCCCAAGCGUUGUUCGGAUUCACUGGGCGUAAAGGGUGCGUAGGUGGCGGGGUAAGUUUGAUGUGAAAUCCCGGGGCUCAACCCCGGAACUGCAUCCGAUACUGCCGUGCUUGAGGGUUGGAGAGGUAGCUGGAAUUAUCGGUGUAGCAGUGAAAUGCGUGGAUAUCUGGAGGAACACCGGUGGCGAAGGCGACAUCCUGGACCGGUAUUGACGCUGAGGCGCGAAAGCCAGGGGAGCAAAGCGGG
rnacentral:rRNA from 1 species